GCCAUCUCUUCAGCCCCAACAUAGAACAUUUUCAUUAGCCCAUAAAGUUCCCUCAUUUUUUGUAUCCACCCCCCUCCCAUCCUAUAUGAUUCCAUUUCUGUAACCAACGACAUAUUUUGUCCUUUCUAGACCUUCAUAAAAACACCAGCAUGAGCAUGCAGGCUUACUUCACGUUAGGACGUCUGUGAGAAGGCUGGUCAGCUGUCUGUGCAGGCUCUAGUCAAGAAUGAAGGACUACCUGAUGGCCCCACCCCCAUGGACACUGCCCAUCGGCCUCCAAGGAGAGGCAGGUCAGAAAUGACUCAAGGUGAACUCAUUCAUUUUUUGUGGCUGAGUAAUAUUCCAUCGUGUGAAUAAGUCCAAUCACAUUUACACACUUGGUGAACAUUUGGGGUUGUUUCUAGUUUUACACUCUGAUGAACAAAGCUGUUAAAACCGUCAUGUUCAAGUGUUUGUGUAAAUUUUCAAUUUCUCUUAGGUAAAUGUCAAAGAAUCAGAUUAUUGGGUUGUAUAGCAUAUGUACAUUUAAUUUUAGAAUAAAUGAUAAAUUCUUUUUCUUUU